UAAUUUCAAACUAGUUGCAGGUGAUACGUUAAUUAAGUUAUUGUUUUGUGAUCUACAUAUCAAAAACGUUUAAGAGAAACGUAAAAGAAUUGAGGACCAUAAGAAGAACAUAAAGAGCCUUGUCUUCAAUUAAAAAAAGCAAUGAUUAAUUCCGCAAUUAUGCUGCGAAAGCAACAACAAUAAAGAGAAGAAGAAGAAGAAGAAGUGCAGCUCGUGUCAUUUGGUAAAUUGCUGCUGUAAAUUGACAUCAGUAUGAAUGAGCACAGCACCAGCUGCAACUACAAUUACAACACAGACACACACAGAGAGAGAGAGACAGAGAGAGGGAGACAGAGAGACGGAGAGAGAGAAAGGGAUACAGAGACACCUCAUCACAUUUGGGAGGCCAUUGUUGAGCGGCGAGUUUAAAAGUGUAUGCUCAGCGAGAUGCGCUUUGAAACCGAUGGGGGCACUCCAUUCGAGGCGAUGCACAGAUAUGAGCCCAUCUCGUUGCGUGAGAUUUUCGUCAGCUUCAGCACUUCACCGCGGUACGAGGAAACUGCAUAGAAUAAAAUAAACAAAAGAGGAAAGCAUCAUCUUUUCACUUUCUCGGAUGUCCUUAUCAAUGUACGACAGGCAAAGGACACACUCAAAAGCUCUACAAUCGUGAU